rnacentral:tRNA from 1 species
ACUUAGGUAAUUUAAUUAAAAUAUUGAUUUGUGGUGUCAAACAUAUGGGGUUAUACUCAUCUUAGGUC